UGUUAUCAAAUAAAUAACAACACAAUAAUAUUUUUUUAUUGUUCGCUGACUUUUGAAUCAUUCGAUUAUUUGAAAUUUGAACAGAAGUACAGACUACAUUCGUGCAGAGUUGUAUUCAUACGUUUUAUUAAAAACUUGCCGUGCACAAGCGUAUUAUUUUUAGUAAAACAUCCAAAGUAUCGCCACAUUGCCUUCAUUUUCAUUUAAUCUGCGGUACCUAAUCAUUUCACAAUCAGUGAUUGUAAGCAAGGCUCAGUAAAUUAGUAGAUAUUAUGGCCAGAGACUGUCUCAAAACAUAAUCCAAACCACUUGUCUGGGAUAGAGAACAGCAAAGUAAAAUAAACACUAUAAAAUAAAUUUUAAUAAUUUUCAUCAACAUUAGUAUUACUCUGAACACGACUAGUAAAUCGCAUCUAAGAGAAAAUUGUGUUUCUCCAACGAUGUGUUAGAAGAAAAUGAACGAUUAAACAAAGAAUUUGGAGACGUCACAGUUUAUGAUUUUAAUUCACCUAGAAAAGCCUUAAACACUUAAUAAUGUCUAAUCCACUCACACUUAUUGGAUUAUACUUAUAUUGGUUUUCAAAACUGAAAUAUAUGAUGUACCCCACAUACAAGGAACUAGGAAGUCGAGCCAAUAUAUUGACAAUUGUUCAGACGUUGACUUUCUUGAAGAUAAUUCUGCCGGUUCAGAUGAAGCCACACAAUAUUCUAGCGAAUAAUGAAACUUAAAGGUAUUACAAUUGUGCUGAGCAAGAGCCAAGAAUCCAAUUUUAAUAACACAGAGGGCCUCAACAUAACAUUUAAAUUGCAAAGGAACACAUAACUAGUUCGGACUUUGGUAUCUUUUCUGAAGGGAAAUUGAAUAUAGUUGGAUGCAUUUAACAGGUCAAAAUUAAAAGUUCCUAGUUGGUUCCAGAAACCUUUGGAGAAACAAAAAGAUAAUUAAGGAAAAAUGGUUAUUUUAACGCAACACCAAUUCUUGACAAUGAUUGAUUUUGUUUUAUUGGUGUAACUAAAAAAAAUAACUAUAGAUACAUGAUUUGUUAACCGAAUAUUCCUAUUAGCAUUUUCUAUUCACCAUACAAAUUACCAUUAAUAAAAGUUCUUUGCUAUAUCAAAGACUUUGAAAAUGUAAUAUAGGGAUCCUUAUAGUUUCUAUAAUAUGUGUUCAAAAAUAUACAAUAUAGCCACCAUUUUUCAUAAGCAUUUAAAGUUCACAUUUCGACAAAAUUCAUCAAUGAUUUGCAAAUUAUUUUAUAGUUAUAAAUGUAUAAAUUGUUAAAUUGUAUAUUUAGCUUAUGCUUAUACUAUAUAAUAUGCUUUUAUUAAAUCUGUUUUGUUUUCAAGCAAUGGUUAUUGCUUGAUUUCAAAGUUAAUUAUAAAAUACUCUGCUCAAAAAUUUAAAUAUUUAUUUUCCAAAUUCAUACUAAAAACAUUGUUUCACAUAUUUUAUUUUAUUAUUUUUUUAAUGUUCUUUAGAGUUUAUACACAAAUUUUGCCCGUCUCUUAUUUAAACAAUUGGUUUAAAAGCCACCUCAAGCUGUUACCACACAUGCCAUUUGUGAAUCCGUGACUAAUGAACAAGAUUUGUUGACAAAGGUUUACCUGUUAGGAUGGUUGGCUUGAACUGUGGAAAUGAUGGCCAUAUAUAUUGAAUUUGUCGCUGAUAGGCUGUUAAGCGAAUUGGGGUGUCCUACAUUUUACAGGUCGUCAAACUCGUUUCUAUUUACAACAAGAAAAGGCAAACUUCUUUAAAAACGAGUAGGCGAUUACCAAAAACCUUCAGUUGCUGUUAUUAAAAUUCUUCAACUAUCAACAAUGGAUAUAAUUGAUGAAGACUUUUAAAUUAGGUCGUCAAUCCCAUCUACAACGAGGAAAGACAAACUUCUUAGUAUAAGAUACUAACGUGCCUAUUUCCUUUAAUUUGUAAUUGUUUUUACUGUGUUUCCCCCCACCACCCAUCAGAAGGAUUAAUUAGUUACUUUAUUUUACCAAAAAAAAACUAUACCUAUGCACUCUGGAGUUAUGUUUGUGAAUAAAAUUAUUUUGUCAAUGACUUAUUUAAGAAAACUUUAUUUUUAAAUUUUAUAAUAAAAAAGAAAAGUAGGAAUUUGAAAUCAUUAUAAUAUCAUAAUUUUCAUUUUUGUUUGUAUUUAUAGUCUAAUUUAUAGUUUAUAUGUAUUUUAAAAUUUAGAAAUACAUGACUUAUGUGGUAAUGUGUUGUAAAUUAUUGUCAUACUUGCAGCAGUUGUUUGAUAACAUACUAAAUAAGAAAUUAUUACUAGGUGGAUAAGAAAAAAAAUAAAUUAUAAUCUAAUAUAAGAUAUAACUGUAGGCAUAUAAAACAAUUAAAACAUUUUGUUUUUCGUGUCUAUGGACUUAAAACUAAUUAAUUUCAACUUUUUAACUUAAUUUUUUCUGUGUUUAUUAAUUUAAUCUAUUUUAAUAUGAUUAGAGUGCGGAUUCGUAUGAUUUUACAUAUUAUAUAUUCUGGUUGAUGGUAUAAAAUGCUAAUAGUGAGCACAUAAUUUGUUUCCCGACCAUAAGGAUUUAAACUGUGAAUCUUUUGGGCUGCAUAAUACAACAGUUAACUAACUUUUUCAUUUCGAGGACUUAUUAAAGAUUUUAAUCGCAAAUAUCUGUGUUUUUUUUUGGACAUUUUUGAAUAAAUUACUGUUGCAAUAUUGAUAUUUUUCUAUAUGAGAUAAAGAAAUCUAAUUUGCUUCAUGUCAUUCCAAUUCCAAAUAAAUCAAUUUUUUUUGUUUUUUUUUUUUGCAAUUAUUCCAUUAGUGGCAUUUUAAUUUUUAAUAUAUUUACUAUGAUGAUAAUAAUAAAAUAAAUUUAUUUUAAUAAAUAAGAAAUUAAAAAACACCAUUUAUAGUAGUGCAUGACAGUAGUUACAGCUCUGAAAUUUUUUAUUUGGAUCAAGGUUAGAACCACUGGAAUCAUAUAUAUAUUUAAUUUUCGAAUAAAAAUAUACAUUUGUAUGAAUUUCUAACUGCAAAUUGGGUUUUCAAAUUUACGUGAUUUAUACGAAUUUUGUCGAAAUUUUAACUUCAGACGCUCGUAAAAAACUACUGUGGAUUUACGCUAGACUUUUUUUUAAUUUCCACCAACAACAAAAUACGAGGAACGUCGUAGGCGUAUUACAUCCUCAAGUUAUUGGACCAAGCGAAAAAUUUUUUAUCGUCAAAAACUAAAAUAAUCGAAAAUUUCAUUUGCAUACCUUGACAUGAAUAUAAAUAUUUUGAAAAUGUUAUGGUUUUAAAUUCUAAUAUAAACAAUCAGUGGAGAUUGCAUGUAUCUACAGUAAUUUAUUUUAGAGUAAAACCACUUACAAGAAAAACCAAAACCGAUUUUACGUAAAAAUGCACGUUUUCCUUAAUUUUUUUUUGUUUUUCCCGGCGCUUUUGGGGCCUAGGUACUGUUAAUUUCCGACAUCCCCUAUGCGCCUACUACAUUCACUUUCCCACCGGAAAAGAUGAAAACCUAAGCAUUAUUUCGACUACUUAUCGUGUACACAGACACAAAAAAUAAAAAUGUAUUACGCAGAACGUACAUUUGCUAAUAGUUUCAAUAUAGGUCGAUUCACUCUAAUUUUUAAACUGACUGUGCUAAAAUAAAUGUGAUAUGCCGAUCGUAAAUUUACCAUACAAGACGAAGACAAUAAAAUGCCCGUGUUACGUCUUAAAUCGUGGGUCAUGGAGUUGCAUCGUUCACGAAAUUUCGGACUUCGGUAAAAUUUAAAGCCCGCGAUUCUGUCUUAUUACUAUGAUAGUAAUAAUUGUCAUCAAAUAAAUAACAACAUAAUAUUAUUAUUUUUUCGUUUGCCGGACUUUAAAUUAAAACUUCGGACUUCGAUAAAAUUUAAUGCCCGCCACCGACCAGAAUUUCCUCCAAUUGGUAAUCAUUCUGCCUUAUCACUAUGUACCACGAAAUAGUAAUAAUUGUUAUCAAAAAAAUACAUAAUAAUAUUAUUUUUUCGUUUGCCGACGUUUGAAUCACUCGCGAAUCGCGAUUAUUUGAAAAUUUGAACGAAAAAUACAGACUACAGUCGUACAGAGUUCUAUUGAUACAUUUUAGUACAAAAUCACCAUGGAUAAGUGUAUUCUUUUUAGUAAAACAUCCAAAGUAUCGCCUCGCCACAUUACGUUAAUAUUCAUUUAUUUCCAAAAAAUCAACGAAUUAAAUGAUUAUCCCAAUUUCUACCCGACAUAGAAUCUGUGAUUCUAAACAAUGCUCAGUAAAUUAGUACACAUGGUCAGAGGCUGUCUCAAAACAUAAUCCAAACCACUUGUCUGGGAUAGAGAAGUAAAAUAAAUUUUAGCCAUUUACGGCAACAUUGGUACUACUCUGAGCACGACCAGGAAAUCACAUCUAAGAGAAAACAGUGUUUCUCCAACGAUGAGUUAGCAGAAAAUGAACAGCGAAUAAAGGAUUUGGAGGCCUUACAGUUGAUGAGUUUAAUUCGCCCAGAAAAGUCUUCGAUACUUAAUAAUGUCUAAUUCACACACACUUAUUUCAUACAAUGGAUUAUUGUUUUCUAAACAGAAAUAUAUGAUGUACCACAUACAAGGAACUAAGAAGUGGAGCCAAUGUGUUGACAAUUUUUCAGACGUCGAACUAUGAAACUUAAAGGUGGUAAUAUUGUUGGUAAUACAAUUUUGCUGAGCAAGAAUCCAUUUUUAAUAACGCCGAGGGCCUCAACACAUUUAACUUGCAAAGAAUCACGUAACUAGUCUGGACAUUGGUAUCUUUUCUGAAGGGAAAGCACAUCUGGUUGUAUGCUUUGGACAGUUUGUCAAUCCCAUUUACAACGAGGAAAGACAAACUUCUUUGCAAAAAUAGUAUGCAAUUACCAAAAAGCUCCAGUAGCUGUUAUUAAAAUUCUUCAACUAUCAACAAUGGACAUGAUCGAUGAAGACUUUUAAAUUAGGUAUAUUUUUAUACGUACUAUUUCCUUUAAUUUGUAAUUAUUUAUCCUGUGUUUCCCUCCCCCCCUCAUCACCCAUGAGAAGGAUUAAUUAGUUACUUUAUUUGACCAAAAAAAACUAUACCUAUGCACUCUGGAGUAAUGUUUGAAAAUAAAAUUAUUUUGUCAAUGACGUAUUUAUAAUUAUAAGAAAACUUUAUUUUAAAUUUUAUAACAAAAAAGAAAAGUAUUUAAAAUCUUUAUAAAUUAUACUAUCAUACUUUUUAUAUUUGUCGUAUUUAUAGUUUAAUUGUAAUUUAAAAUUUAGAAAUAUAUGAUAAAUUUGUUGUAAUUUUUUGUUAUACUUAAUUUUUUUUUUAAUUUCCUGUUAGUAACCAUUAUUUUUACAUACUAGAUAAAUUCUUACUGAAUAAGAGAAAAUAAAUUGUAAUAUAAUGUAAGAUUUGACUGUAGUAAACAAUAGACAUAUAAAACAAAUUGUUUUUUGUCUGGAUAAUGCAGAACUUAAAAGUAAACCUUGUGAUUAAUAUGUUAAUUUCAACUUUUUAAUUUAAUCAUUUCAGUUUUUAUUAAAUUAAUUUCUUUACAUUUUAUUAUGAUUAGAGAGCGGAUUUUUGUAUGCAUUUGCAUAUUUAUUCUGGUUGAUCUUACACUAUGCUGAGUGACCACAGAAUUUGUUUUUAUGACCAUAACGAUUUAAACUGGAACUGCUGCAUAUUUCGAUAAUUAACUCAUUUUUAUUAAUUUAAGGACUUAUUUUAUGAUUUUAAUUGCAUAUUUCUUUGUUUUUAAUGGAUAUUUUUGAAUUGAAUACUACUGCAAUAUUGACAAAAAAAAAGAUAAAUGUCAUUAUGGAAUUCAAUUUUGUGUUUUAUAGUUAUACACUUAUACACAGUACCCAUAUUGUAUUUAUAUUUUAUUUGCAUAAAAUAUUGUUUGGCGCCCAAAACAGAAUUAAUGCAACUUUUCAUACUACCUUAGGUUGCUGACAUGAAUAAUAUAAUAUAAUGUAAAGGCCAUCUCUAUACUAAGAGAAUAGGGGUACUGGGAAUUUCGACCUCCCCAAAGCAUCAACUGGAUUCACUUUUCCACCGGAAAUGAUGAGAAGCGAAGCAUUAUUUCGACUACUUAUCGUGCACACAGACAUAAAAUAAAAAAAAAAAAAUUACGCAGAUCGUAAAUUUGCUAAUAUUUUCAAUAUAGGUCGAUUCAAUCUAAUUUUUAAUCUAACAAUGCUAAAUGUGAUCUGCUGAUCGUAAAUUUGCUAUACAAGACGGAGACAAUAAAACGACCGUGUUACGUCUUAAAUCGCGGGUCAUGGAGCAGCGUUUCUGACUUAUCACUAUGUACCACGAAAUAGUAAUAAUUGUUAUCAAAUAAAUACAUAAUGAUAUUAUUUUUUUCGUUUGCCGACGUUCGAAUCACUCGCGAAUCCCAAUUAUUUGAAAUUUGAACAGAAAUACAGACUACAGUCGUACAAAGUUCUAUUGAUACAUUUUAGUACAAAAUCAUCAUGGAUAAGUUUAUUCUUUUUAGUAAAACAUCCAAAGUAUCGCCCCGCCACAUUACGUUAAUUUUCAUUUUUUUCCAAAAAAUCAACGAAAUAGAAGAAAAUAAUGGCUAAAAAUCUUUGAAUUAAAUGAUUAUCCCAAUUUCUACCCGACAUAGAAUCUGCGGUAGUCAUUUCACAAUCAGUGAUUGUAAACAAUGUUCAGUAAAUUAGUAAACAUGGUCAGAGGCAGUCACAAAACAGAAUCCAAACCACUUAUCUGGGAUAGAGAAGUAAAAUGAAUUUUAGUCAUUUACGGCAACAUUGGUACUACUCUGAGCACGACUAGGAAAUCGUAUCUAAGAGAAAACUUUGUUUCUCCAACGAUGAGUGAGCAGAUAAUGAACAGCGAAUAAAGGAUUUGGAGGCCUUACAGUUGAUGAUUUUAAAUUGCCUGGAAAAGUCUUAGAUACCUAAUAAUGUCUAAUUCACACACAUUUAUUUCAUACAAUGGAUUAUACUUAUUAUUGUUUUCAAAACAGAAAUAUAUGAUGUACCACAUACAAGGAACUAAGAAGUGGAGCCAAUGUAUUGACAAUUUUUCAGACGUUGAAACCAAACGUCGAGCUAUGAAACUUAAAGGUGGGAAUAUUGUUGAUAGGUUUUUAUUCUAAAUCUAUUUUACUGUGAUAUUAACUAACAUACCCACCUGUUCAUGGGACACAUUGUAUAAUAUCUAAUUGUGUGCGUGGACAUAUAUUUGUCUAUUGAAAGGAUUCAGCCCCUUGAGUCAAAAUAAAUUAAUAAAUAAAUAAUUAUAUGUUACAUUCUUAAAAUAUCCAAACUUGUAUGAAAAAUUAAAUACAAAUAUAUUAAGUGCUUCCCCAUAAGGUCCCUUAAAAAAUGUCAUAUAGGCUGUUAAACGAGUUGGGAUGUCCUGCAGUAAGUACAUUUAUUUAUCAUAGUAAUAAUAAUUUUCAAAUUUAAUUAAAUAUGUAAAUUAAAGGUUUACAGAUUCUCAAACCCGUUCCCAUUUAUGGAUCUUAUAUCUCAACAAGGAAAGACAAACUUCUUUGAAAAAAGAGUUGGCGAUUAUCAAAAACCUUCAGUAGCUGUUAUUGAAACUCCUCAAUUGUCGACAAUGGACAUAACUGAACAAGACUUUUAAAUUAGGUAUAUUCUGAUAGCCGCAGUAUUUCCUUCUAUUUGUGUACUUAUUUAUUCUAUGUUUCCCCAUCCACCACCCAUCAGAGGGUUAUUAGUUACAUUAUUUAACGAAGCCGCACUAUGCACUCUGAAUUAUGUUUGUGAAUAAAAUUAUUUUGUCAAUGACGUAUUUAUAAUUAUAAGAAAACUUUAUUUUAAAUUUUAUAACAAAAAAGAAAAGUAUUUAAAAUCUUUAUAAAUUAUACUAUCAUACUUUUUAUAUUUGUCGUAUUUAUAGUUUAAUUGUAAUUUAAAAUUUAGAAAUAUAUGACAAAUUUGUUGUAAUUUAUUGUUAUACUUAAUCUUUUUUUUUUAAUUUCUCGUUAGCAGCAGUUAUUUUUACAUACUAGAUAAAUUCUUACUGAAUAAGAGAAAAUAGAUUGUAAUAUAAUGUAAGAUUUGACUUUAGUAAACCUUGUGAUUAAUAUGUUAAUUUCAACUUUUUAAUUUUAGCAUUUCAGUUUUUAUUAAAUUCAUUUCUUUACAUUGUAUUAUGAUUAGAGAGCGGAUUUGUAUGCAUUUGUAUAUUUAUUCUGGUUGAUCUUACACUAUGCUGAGUGACCACAGAAUUUGUUUUUAUGACCUUAACAAUUUAAACUGGAACUGCUGCAUAUUUUGAUAGUUAACUCAUUUUUAUUAAUUUAAGGACGUGUUUUAUGAUUUUCAUUGCAUACUUCUUUGUUUUUAAUGGAUAUUUUUGAAUUGAUUACUACUGCAAUAUUGACAAAAAAAAAGAUAAAAGUAAAUAAGGAAUUCAAUUUUGUCAUUUAUAGUUAUACACUUAUACACAGUACCCAUAUUGUAUUUAUAUUUUAUUUGCAUAAAAUAUUGUUUGGCGCCCAAAACAGAAUUAAUGCAACUUUUCAUACUACCUUAGGUUGCUGACAUGAAUAAUAUAAUAUAAUGUAAAGGCCAUCUCUAUACUAAGAGAAUAGGGGUACUGGGAAUUUCGACCUCCCCAAAGCAACAACUGGAUUCACUUUUCCACCGGAAAAGAUGAGAAGCGAAUCAUUAUUUCGACUAUUUAUCGUGCACAAAAUAAAAUAAAAAAAAUUACGCAGAUCGUAAAUUUGCUAAUACUUUCAAUAUAGGUCGAUUCACUCUAAUUUUUAAUCUAACAAUGCUAAAUGUGAUCUGCUGAUCGUAAAUUUGCUAUACAAGACAGAGCACAGAGACAAUAAAACGACCGUGUUACGUCUUAAAUCGCGGGUCAUGGAGCAGCGUUCACGAAACUUCGAUAAAAUUUAAUGCCCGCCACCGACCAGAAGUACCUCUAAUUGGUAAUCAUUCUGCCUUAUCACUAUGUACCACGAAAUAGUAAUAAUUGUUAUCAAAUAAAUACAUAAUAAUAUUAUUUUUUCGUUUGCCGACGUUUGAAUCACUCGCGAAUCGCAAUUAUUUGAAAUUUGAACAGAAAUACAGACUACAGUCGUACAAAGUUCUAUUGAUACAUUUUAGUACAAAAUCACCAUGGAUAAGUGUAUUCUUUUUAGUAAAACAUCCAAAGUAUCGCCCCGCCACAUUACGUUAAUUUUCAUUUAUUUCCAAAAAAUCAACGAAUUAAAUGAUUAUCCCAAUUUCUACCCGACGUAGAAUCUGCGGUGAUCAUUUCACAAUCAGUGAUUGUAAACAAUGCUCAGUAAAUUAGUAAACAUGGUCAGAGGCUGUCUCAAAACAUAAUCCAAACCAAUUGUCUGGGAUAGAGAAGUAAAAUACAUUUUAGCCAUUUACGGCAACAUUGGUACUACUCUGAGCACGACCAGGAAAUCACAUCUAAGAGAAAACUUUGUUUCUCCAACGAUGAGUGAGCAGAUAAUGAACAGCGAAUAAAGGAUUUGGAGGCCUUACAGUUGAUGAUUUUAAAUUGCCUGGAAAAGUCUUAGAUACCUAAUAAUGUCUAAUUCACACACAUUUAUUUCAUACAGUGGAUUAUACAUAUUAUGGUUUUCAAAAUUGAAAUAUAUAACUAAGAAGUGGAGCCAAUGUAUAACAAUUUUUCAGACGUUGACUUUCUUGAAGAUAAUCCUGCCGGCACAGAUUAAGCUGUACAAUAUUGGAGUGAAUUAUGAAACUUAAAGGUCGUCAAUCCCAUUUACAACGAGGAAAGACAAACUUCUUUGCAAAAACAGUAUGCAAUUACCAAAAAGCUCCAGUAGCUGUUAUUAAAAUUCUUCAACUAUCAACAAUGGACAUGAUCGAUGAAGACUUUUAAAUUAGGUAUAUUCUUAUACGUACCUAUUUCCUUUAAUUUGUAAUUAUUUUUCCUGUGUUUUCCCCCCUCCCCUCAUCGCCCAUCAGAAGGAAUAAUUAGUUACUUUAUUUUACCAAAAAAAACUAUACUUAUGCACUCUGGAGUUAUGUUUGUGAAUACAAUUAUUUCGUCAAUAACGUAUUUAUAAUUAUAAGAAAACUUUAUUUUUAAAUUUUAUAAUAAAAAUGAGAGGUAUUUAAAAUCUUUAUAAAUUAUACUAUCAUACUUUUCAUAUUUGUUGUAUUUAUAGUUCAAUUGUAUUUUAAAAUUUGGAAAUAUGUGACUAAUGUGUUGUAAUUUAUAGUUAUACUUGUCAUGUUAAGUGUGUCUCGCAUGAUAACUAAACACUAAGUUGUUCGGUGUUUAUUAAAAACUUUAUUUAUUUAUUUUAAUUACAUUUUAUGAAUUAUUUUAUUAAGAUUAGAGCGUGGAUUUGUAUGAUUUUGCAAAUUUAUACUGGUUGGUGAUAUGGUAAGUGAGCACAGAAUUUGUUUUAUGACAAUUAAGAUUUAAACUGUGAAUCUUUUGGGCAGCAUAUUUCAAUAAUUAAAUAACUUUUUUAUUUCAAGGACUUAUUUUAUUAUUAUAAUUGUAUAUUUCUGUGUUUUUAAUAUUUUUUUAGACAUUUGUGAAUUGAUUACUAUUGCAAUUUUUACAUUUGGGGUUUAACUGUUUUCUCAUACCAUAUGCUUAUUAUUUUUUUUAAGAGAUAAAGAAAUCUAAUUUUUAUACGUGAAUUAGUUUCAUGUCAUUCUGUUUCUAAAUAAAUCAAUUUUUAUUGCUUUUUUACAAUUAUUCCAGUAGUUAUUAGUUU